UACGGGGGGGGCAAGCGUUGUUCGGAAUUACUGGGCGUAAAGGGCUCGUAGGCGGCCAACUAAGUCAUACGUGAAAUCCCUCGGCUUAACCGGGGAACUGCGUCUGAUACUGGAUGGCUUGAGUUCGGGAGAGGGAUGCGGAAUUCCAGGUGUAGCGGUGAAAUGCGUAGAGAUCCGGAGGAACACCAGUGGCGAAAGCGGCCACCUGGACUGCACCUGACGCUGAAACGCGAAAGCUAGGGGAGCGAACGGG
rnacentral:rRNA from 1 species